GGGUGCACUGAGGGGAAGGCCGCCUUGGGCUGCUGUAGUUUGGAGUGUUGAGUGCUCCAUGUCUGAGCUCCACUUCCAUCCCAUGCCUGUGAGAUUGAGACUUGUCCCCACUGAGACCUUGUCUGAGAAGACAAUUCAAAAGCAGUCAGGUAUUCUGGAAGAUUUACUGAUCCAGGAUGUUUUGAAUGUUCAUCAGGGAGCCACGUGAAUCUAAAAACCGACACAUUCUCUGUAACUUGUGAUCCUGAAUUAUCAAAAGAGAUACACUUUUCCCCCAGCUCAGAGCCCUUGUUGAUACAUACAGACUUCACUGGGAUCUCCCUUCUAAGAAGGGUGAGUUCCUCAAGAUCUUGGCUUAAUGAGGGGUCUGAUUUUUGACACCAUGCAUAUCAUUGGUCCCAGGUUUUGCCUCACAGCAGAUUCUUGUGGUAGUUCCCACAAACCCACCCUAUUGGUAUUCAUGCCCUUAUGUGAUUUCCUCUUGAGUAUUAGUAUGAACUGCAAUUUCCUUGUAACCAAUAGGAUACGGCAAAGGUGACAAUAUGAACAGAAUAUCAUAUUGCAUUACAUAAGUUUCUGGUACUCAUCUUACUGAAGCUACUCACUCCUUGCUGGUUUUGAAGAAGCAAGCUGCCGUAUUGGAGCUGACUGUAUUGAGAGACCUACGUGGCACUAAGGGUUGCCUCCUGGCUCAAGACCACAAAGCACAUAAGUGAAGAAACCUGGAUUUCAACCCAGGGCAUUUGACUCCAGAGCCUGAACCAGUAACCACAUUCCAUACUGUAAAAUACAUUCUUGUCCAGCCAUGGUGACUCAGCUGUAGUGUGCUAUUCCAUAAUACUGUAGCUACAUGGAAGAUUGGGAUUCAGUUUCCAGGAUGUCCUGUUCAUACUGGGCACAUAUGCACACAUGCCUGUGAUCCCAGCUGGCUGAGAAAGCUGAGGGGAAGAUAAUAUCAUAAGACUCUGUUAAGGGUGCCCUCCUCUCUCUCAAAUAAGUAAACAAAAAAU